UACGUAGGGGGCUAGCGUUGUCCGGAAUCAUUGGGCGUAGAGAGCGUGUAGGCGGUCCGGUAAGUCCGCUGUGAAAGUCGGGGGCUCAACCCUUGAAUGCCGGUGGAUACUGCAGGGCUAGAGUCCGGAAGAGGCGAGUGGAAUUCCUGGUGUAGCGGUGAAAUGCGCAGAUAUCAGGAAGAACACCCGUGGCGAAGGCGGCUCUCUGGGACGGUACUGACGCUGAGACGCGAAAGCGUGGGGAGCGAACAGG
rnacentral:rRNA from 1 species